GGUGAGAUGGCCGAGUUGGUCUAAGGCGCCAGGUUAAGGUUUAGCUUAACAUGUGAUUGUAUGCGAACAAUCUCCUGGUCUGGAAACAGGCGUGGGUUCGAAUCCCACUCUCAUCA